UGCGUAGGCGGCGCCGUAAGUCAGGUGUGAAAUCUCGGAGCUUAACUCCGAAACUGCAUUCGAUACUGCCGUGCUUGAGGACUGGAGAGGAGACUGGAAUUUACGGUGUAGCGGUGAAAUGCGUAGAUAUCGUAAGGAAGACCAGUGGCGAAGGCGGGUCUCUGGACAGUUCCUGACGCUGAGGCACGAGGGCCAGGGAGCAAACG
rnacentral:rRNA from 1 species